UCCCUGGUGGCUUAGACGGUAAAGCGUCUGUCUAUAAUGUGGGAGACCCGGGUUCGAGCCCUGGGUUGGGAA
rnacentral:tRNA from 1 species